AUGCCAUGGUGUGGACACUGCCUUUUCAGAGCCUUGUAUCUCUGCCAUGCUACGUAAAGAGACUCCAAUUCAUGUUGUUGAAAACCAGGUAUCUCACUUCUGAACUU
rnacentral:snoRNA from 1 species